UCGCGACCCCGGGUCAGGCGGGACUACCCGCUGAGUUUAAGCAUAUCAUUAAGCGGAGGAAA
rnacentral:rRNA from 1 species